GACGAACGCUGGCGGCGUGCUUAACACAUGCAAGUCGAACGGUAACAGGCCCUUCGGGGUGCUGACGAGUGGCGGACGGGUGAGUAAUGCUUAGGAAUCUGCCUAGUAGUGGGGGAUAACCCGGGGAAACUCGGGCUAAUACCGCAUACGCCCUACGGGGAAAGGCGGGGACGUUUCGGUCCGUCGCGCUAUUAGAUGAGCCUAAGUCCGAUUAGCUAGUUGGUAGGGUAAUGGCCUACCAAGGCGACGANCGGUAGCUGGUCUGAGAGGAC
rnacentral:rRNA from 1 species